CCUCUCCCUGCAAGGCCUCCGCCGGUGCCUGCAAACAGACUGCAUGCUCCGGCCGGGCCUCACCGGGAUCCACGCAGCUGUCACAAGGGCGGAGCCCAAGGGUCACAUCCGGGCUGAGAGGGAAGAGGUAACAAGCCCACCGAGCCAGGGAAUAGGGGGUGAGAAGAACAGCAGUGAGGAGGGAAAGUGGAGAAAAACAAGGAGGAGCAGGAGCAGAAAGAAGAUUGGGAGCAAGGAGCCCAAAUCGUUAUGGAGAUGGAAAAGUGAAGUAGAUCUCAACUCAAUCUGCGCUUGAAGAACAUCUAAAAUUAUUGAUUUUUGCAGAUUACAGGGAGCUAAUACAGCUAAUAAAAAGCUGGAGGAAAUCAGUAUUCUCAUGAAAAAUAGACUUGAUUAUUCUACUUCAAAUGUAAUUUGAGUGUGAUAAGUACCAUACUAUGAUGCAUUUGCCAAAAAGUGAUAUACACUGCAAAAAUCAAUGGCUAAUUAGAACUUCAGUGAGGAGCCAGAUUUCACAUGAAGUGUGAGGUAGAGUAAAGAAUGUCAUUUAGCAGAAUGUAAAUUACUGUUUUUGCAUCUCUUCCUACUGAAGAACUGGUUUUACUGCUCAACACAGUAUUAGAGCCACACACAAAGUUUAGUUUCUGAUCAUCCACCAGAACACUGCCCAGCAUGGUAGUCCAAGCACAUAAUAGACAUCAAGCACUUGAACGGAGAUGUGCUGUAAGUAUAAAAUAGACACUGAAGUUCAAAUCCACAGUACGAAAGAAUAUACAGUAUAUAAUUAU
rnacentral:lncRNA from 1 species